AUUGAACGCUGGCGGCAUGCCUUACACAUGCAAGUCGAACGGCAGCACGGGAGCUUGCUCCUGGUGGCGAGUGGCGAACGGGUGAGUAAUGCAUCGGAACGUGCCCUGAAGUGGGGGAUAACGUAGCGAAAGUUACGCUAAUACCGCAUAUUCUGUGAGCAGGAAAGCAGGGGAUCUUCGGACCUUGCGCUUUUUGGAGCGGCCGAUGUCGGAUUAGCUAGUUGGUGGGGUAAAGGCCCACCAAGGCGACGAUCCGUAGCGGGUCUGAGAGGAUGAUCGCCACACUGGAACUGAGACACGGUCCAGACUCCUACGGGAGGCAGCAGUGGGGGAAUUUUGGACGAAAUUGGGGCGCCAAAGCCUGAUCCAGCCAUGCCGCGUGAGUGAAGAA
rnacentral:rRNA from 1 species